GUUAAUUGACCGUGCAGGAAUUGUUCCUAUUAAAUUAGGACCUAAGCCACGAAAUAGUGCUCUUGUUCCUUCAUGAACUUUUACAUUUUUUAAUAUUAUACAUGUAUCCAUAAAAUGCCUAUAUGCAGCCGUCAAUGGACUUUUCGAUUUCGCCGUUUGCUUCAAAAAUCUGUCUUUGUAAAAGUCAGACUGCAACCUCGUCUUCACUACGUCCAAAGGUGCUGUUGCAAUCGCUCCUAACAUUCCUGCAACUCUAAAGAAUAUUAGAAAGACAUUUCCCGUAAAUUUACAAAUCACUUACCCACCCGCUAUAAAAUGCGACAAAGGCGGUGGAGCACGUUCGUUACUGGCAUUAUUUGCUUUUGUUAAUAAAACUUUUGUUUUUUGUGAGUUUUCAGAGGGUUUAAUCUCUGAAUUUGACAGCAUGUCCAAACUCCUAAUUUUUGGCUCUUGGCAAUGUAAUGUCAUUCAAACAUUAAACAAAUUGCUACUCUUAUGAACUUGAAUGUCUAGUACUUUACUAGAAUCUACUUAGUACAUUCUUAAUAGUAACUAGUAGUAUUUUAACUACUCAAAUUUAAGAGGCUUAUUUACUAAUGUCAAGGGACCUUCACAUAAACUUCCCGAACGCUAUUUGAAAACUCGAGUUAAACACGGAGCAAAAAUAUAACUAAAUCUACAAUAUUAAAUAAUGUAUCUGAUCUUAAAUAAGAGGGUUUUAAACUUCGGUUCCGUUAGAGAAUUUUAACAUAAUCCGAUUGUGCAUAUCUAAAUGAAAACUGAUAACUAUUAGCU